CCACCAUAAUUUUUCCCAUAUACACUUGCUCUCUGGAAUUCCAUUUUGUUCUCAGUAAGUGUCCCCGUUUUGUCUGAAAAGAUAUAGCGUACCUGACCCAAGUCCUCAUUUAUAUUCAAUGAUCUGCACUGAAACCUUGAGCCAGAACUAUAAUCAUACAUAUGCCUGUCUCCAAUCAUGAAAUAGGACUGUCCUAAACGAACCAACUCCAUUGU
rnacentral:misc_RNA from 1 species